UGAGAAAUAGCUACCACUUCUACGGAGGGCAGCAGGCGCGCAAAUUGCCCAAUGUCGAGAAAAACGAUGAGGCAGCGAAAAGAAAUAGGCCUCCCAGGCACUCUGUGCUUGGGAGAUUACAAUGGGGGAUAUUNAAANNCAUCCAAAAUCGAGUAACAAUUGGAGGACAAGUCUGGUGCC
rnacentral:rRNA from 1 species